CUUCUUGCUGUCUGCUGAUCUGGAUGUAGAACUCUCUCAGCUACCUCUCCAGCACCAUGUCUGCCUGCCCGCCACCAUGCUUCCUUCCAUGAUAAUAAUGGACUAAACCUCCAAAGUGCGUGAAGAGGGUUAUUUGUGUGGCCAGAUGCCUAAAGAUGACAAGAAAGAACAAGACUGAUGGGGAGAUGCUGGGAAAGAGCUUCCUGGCUCUGAUAAAGGAAUCAGGACCCUUAGAGAUUGGCUGCUCAAUCCUGGAUGUCUCACCUUCCAGAACCAUAAGCCUAAGAAAGCUGCCUUCCUUUAGAAGUUACUCAGGCCCAACUAUUCCCCACAGAAAUGCUUACAGCCCAUCACCAAGGGAGCUAAGGCAGAAACUCAAGUGAGAACCCUGAAGCUGGGAACUGAAGCAGAGACAGGCCACAGAGGAAAGCUGUUUCCUGGCUGUCUCAGCCUGCUUUCUCAUACAAUCCAGGACCACCUGCCAGGGAUGGCACUGCCCACAAUCAUUAAUCAAGACAAUGCCUCACAGACAUGCCCAGUGGACAGUCUGAUGGUGGCAGUUCCUCAAUGGAGAUUCCUUCUUCCCAGAUGACUCCAGUUUGUGUCAAGUUGAAAAGAAGAAGAAGAAGAAGAAGAAGAAGAAGAAGAAGAAGAAGAAGAAGAAGAAGAAGAAGAAGAAGACGCUAACUAACCAAUACAGCUCAGUACAACUUCAGAGGCAACUCCAGUAAAAGUGUGACUAUCAGCAGGCAGAUGUCAUUAGAGGCAUCUUAGGGCUGCUAAAACCCCUAAUGGAAUAGAGUAUGAACACACAAUCUCCCACUGGGCAGCCAACUCCCAAGCAAAAUUCAAGAUGGGAGAAGAGCCAAGGGGGCAACCGGAAUUCUCUGCCUCAACUCUAUUUGUUACAUAAAGACUUCUCAUAUACUAUAUAUAUUCUGAUUUCUAGAUCAUAGUACCUAUACCCCCAAGGAUUCUUCCUCUUAUGGAAAAUGUCAAAUUCCCACACAGAAAGCUUCUUAAAAACCCGGAGGGGAAGCCCGGCAGUGGUAGGGCAUGUCUUUAAUUCCCCACUUGGAAGGCAGAGACGGGUGGAUCUCCAUGAGUUUGAGACCAGCCUGGUCUGCAGAGUGAGUUCCAGGACAGCCUGGACUGUUACACAGAGAAACCUUGUCUCUAAAAAACAAAAACAAAAACAAAACCAACAAAAAAAAAAUAAAAACCCAGGUGUAGGAAGGGAGCUUCCAUUUGGAAGAAGAAAGACUCUUUCUGCAUUGCUGAACUCUAUGGAUGAUUCACACGUGCUGUUGACGUACUUACAUGUGUUAGCUAAGCUGAGAUGCAAAUCUUCUUAUGCUUUCCCAAACUUUUCCAAAAGGCCACAGAUGCUGUGGGUUUGGAAGCACAGCUCUUCAGGUUUUACUCUCUACAUUAGGUGUGAUCCAGAUGGUGAAAUAGAGUAAGUGGGUCUUAGGAAUGUGGCUUCUUUAUUCCCAUGCUUGUUUAUAGGGAGUGACAUAACACAGCUCCAGGCAUUGUGAUACCUCUUUUACUUACAUUGGCUAAUGUAAACCAUAUCCUGGUUUACAUAUGCUCUCCUAAAUCCUGGUCUGACAUGUGCCCAGGUCAUUCCUCUUAGUGCUCCGUCACAGGAAGAAAAUGCAAGGUUUCCAUGUAUUUUUAUUAGUCUCACGGUUGCUAGUCAUUUUGGCAUUGAGUUUAGGCAGGGGUACACGCAAAGCAGUUGGUGUGAGGUUUUCAUUUUUAUUUUUUAAAGACUUAUUUGUUCACUUUUAUUUAUGUGUAUGUGUGUACCUGCC
rnacentral:lncRNA from 1 species